CACCCAGGCCACCUUCCCAUAAUCAAGAUCUUAUUUUAUUCAGACUCCACACAGCUUUCUCUUCAGAAUGCCAGGGUUCUUUGUGGUGGAAAACUGUCACUGAAAUAGAGCAAGUGUCCUGGACUAUGUGCCUCUGCUUCUACUAAAAGUUUUUCAAAGCAACAUGGUGGCAAGGAGGAAAUGGGAAGUGUCUGUAUCGGAGCAAAAGGUGCUUAAAAUAUGGGCGAAAAGCCUAGAUGAACUAAACUAUCUGCUGACAGAUUCAUAUCAUAGCUCUGGCUGUAAAGACCCUCACAAUGAAGUAGAUGUUUUCCAGAGCGCCACCCCCCCAUGCCCAGACUUCUCCAGCUAACCCUGCAAGCUUCCAGGAGCUUCAUCUGGCCACGGAAAUGUGAUUCAUUGCCAGUACAGAGGGCUGCCUGUUACCUGACUGUCUUUACAAGAUGCCUCUGGAGUGCCCUUGUGAUGCCCUGAUGUCUGGAGCUGCUACUGCCAUCUUGUGGCCACCAGCGAGACGUUCCCAACACCCCGAGGAUUACUGAGCGCAUAAAUGCAAAGUGUGUCUUUGAUGGCAUCACUGAGUCACUACACUUAACUCUGGACCUCUUAAAUGGAAAAUGCACACCCCAGGACUUCCCUGGUGGUCCAGUGGCUAAGACUCUGCACUCCCAAUGCAGGGGGACCGCUUUCAAUCUCAGGUCAGGGAACUAGAUCCCACAUGCUACAACUAAGUUUGAAUGCUGCAACUGAAGAUUCUGCGUGCCUUGUCAAAAGACCAAAGAUCCUUGUGAGCGGCAACCAAGUUAAGACCCAGCACAGCCAAAUAAAUAAAUAUUUUUAAACACACACACACAUCCCUAAAGUCUCAGGCAGUUUAAUGGGGAUCCCCGUAAC